CCGGUUCCCCAAUCCCGCCCCACACGCCCACACGCACGCAGAAGAAUCACCGGCAAAUAUUCCGUUCUUAUCUCUCCCCUCUUCGCCGCUCCCGUGAGGCCGUGACGGCGGCGGCGCGCGCUGGUCCGGCGGAGUCCAUUACGGCAUGACUCCCUUCCCAAUCCAACAAGAUACGGUUUCCAUGGAGACCUGAUUUAUCUCGACGCGGUACAGCCAGUCUACUUCCAUCCGUGGGGGCGGCGGCGGCGGCCCGGCAGCGACACUAUUUCCCUCUCGCGACGGUAGCACGAUUCCAAACCGGCGAUCUCAUCCGGAGCAGCCACAAGGAAAAGGGUCCUCAUCGGAUUGGGUCGGAGCUCUUCUUCUAUGUGCCUUACAACCCAAUAAACACCGAUCAAUAAGCUUCCAACCAGAUUUGAGGAAAAAGAUGGAUUGAUAUACAUGUCUUGCAAUACAACUAAUCAAUGUGACAUGGUAUACCAUAGUUUGUGUAUCCUACUCUUAUUUUCCAUUGUGUUACAUCAUGCAGUCCCUCGG